CAAUAGCGUAUAUUUAAGUUGUUGCAGUUAAAAAGCUCGUAGUUGGAUUUCGGGUAGGACGCAGCGGUCUCGCAUUGCGUUUGUACUGCUGCAGCCCUCCUUCUUGCCGGGGGCGGCCUCUCGGACUUCACUGUCUGGGGGUCAGAAUCGGCGAUGUUACUUUGAGUAAAUUAGAGUGUUCAAAGCAAGCUUACGCUCUGAAUAUAAUAGCAUGGGAUAACACGACAGGACUCUGGCCUAUCGUGUUGGUCUAUAGGACCAGAGUAAUGAUUAAGAGGGACAGUCGGGGGCAUUCGUAUUCCGUUGUCAGAGGUGAAAUUCUUGGAUUUACGGAAGACGAACAUCUGCGAAAGCAUUUGCCAAGGAUGUUUUCAUUGA
rnacentral:rRNA from 1 species